rnacentral:rRNA from 1 species
UACGGGGGGAGCAUGCGUUGUUCGGCUUUACUGGGCGUAAAGGGCGCGUAGGCGGCGUGACAAGUCACUUGUGAAAUCUCCGGGCUUAACCCGGAGCGGCCAAGUGAUACUGUCAUGCUAGAGUGCGGAAGGGGCUACUGGAAUUCUCGGUGUAGCGGUGAAAUGCGCAGAUAUCAGGAGGAACACCGGUGGCGAAGGCGGGAUCCUGGGCCAGUACUGACGCUGAGGAGCGAAAGCGUGGGGAGCAAACAGG